rnacentral:misc_RNA from 1 species
UGAUGAAGCAUCAUCAUUUCUUGUUAAGUCAAUUAUGUGCUCAUGAUCAUUAUGGCUAUUCAUCCGUUCCAUCAACAAAGGGUAUUGGUCACUUUGGGUGUUGCUAUUUGGUUUAGAAGAAGUGUCAUCCAUCUAAGUUUGACAACCAACUUAGAAGGCAUGAAAUCAUCAGCUGGAAAUAUAAAAGUUUCCAAAUUUUUGCAAAUUUUCUUCAAAUCAUUACUGAAUU